rnacentral:misc_RNA from 1 species
AGGUUCUUGGCCUUAUGGC